rnacentral:ncRNA from 1 species
AGAGCUGCGCUAGUGCUUGGCUUAUCUUCCAGCUCCUCUCCCUGUGCUUUCUUUGCCGGUUUUCGCUUUAUCUCGCCCGGCUCUGUAUGCGAGGUGCUUCCCUCGCUGCUAGAGCUGCUCUUGCGUGUUCUCAGAGCCUUUUUGCGUGGUGUUGUUCCAAGCUUGUGGGUGCGCGGGGGGGCCUGCCAGUCCAUCUUCUCCAAAGUUGAUAAGGAGUGAGGAGGGGGGGGGGGGGGAAGCUGGGCACCGUAAGCCGGUGAGCCAGGCAGCACGUGGCUGCUGCUUUGCAAUUAUACCGCUGCUUCGAGCACUGGGUUUUUUGCGCUGAUAACACGCACACUCGGGUGUGCGAUGGUGUUAGUGCGAACUACCGUUAGGUACGUUGGCUGGGCCAAUCAAAACGCGCGACAAGAUCACGCGACGCGAAGUGGCUGGGCACAAGUAACGGGACUUACAACUGUGAACAAUUUGCUAACAAUUUGCUAACAAUUUGCUGUCGAUCCGCAGGCACGUCUGCACUCGUCGAGUGUUCGAUCGCGACUCCAUCUAAUUAGUGACGCGCAUGAAUGGAUUAACGAGAUUCCUACUGUCCCUAUCUACUAUCUAGCGAAACCACAGCCAAGGGAACGGGCUUGGAAUAAUUAGCGGGGAAAGAAGACCCUUUUGAGCUUGACUCUAAUCUGGCAGUGUAAGGAGACAUAAGAGGUGUAGAAUAAGUGGGAGAUAUUAGACCUCGGUUUGGUAUCGUCAAUGAAAUACCACUACUCUUAUUGUUUCCUUACUUACUUGAUUAAAUGGAACGUGUAUCAUUUCCUAGCCAUUAUACGGAUAUAUU